CCAAUAGCGUAUAUUAAAGUUGCUGCAGUUAAAAAGCUCGUAGUUGAAUUUCGGGACUGAUAUGUCGGUCGUGCCUCGGUACGUACUGGUAUUUUUGGUUUCUCCCUUCUGACGAACCUUGAUGUCAUUAAGUUGGUGUCUUGGGAAAUCAGGACUGUUACUUUGAAAAAAUUAGAGUGUUUAAAGCAGGCUCACGCUUGAAUACAUUAGCAUGGAAUAGUGAAAUAGGACGUUUGAUUCUAUUUUGUUGGUUUCUAGGAUCGACGUAAUGAUUAAUAGGGAUAGUUGGGGGCAUUAGUAUUCAAUUGUCAGAGGUGAAAUUCUUGGAUUUAUUGAAGACUAACUACUGCGAAAGCAUUUGCCAAGGAUGUUUUCAUUAAUCAAGAACGAAAGUUAGGGGAUCGAAGACGAUCAGAUACCGUCGUAGUCUUAACCAUAAACUAUGCCGACUAGGGAUCGGAUGAUGUUAAUUUUUUAAUGACUCAUUCGGCGCCUUACG
rnacentral:rRNA from 1 species